UCGUUCUUCACAAAGUGAUCUUUUGUUAAAGACAACGUUAAGCAAUUUACAAUCUGCGAAUUCAGUUUGUUCGUAUUUACGUUCUUCAUAGUAGCUUUUGGUUGUUUGAUCGCAUUGCGCAUCUAAAAA